rnacentral:rRNA from 1 species
UACGGAGGGUGCAAGCGUUAAUCGGAAUUACUGGGCGUAAAGCGCACGCAGGCGACUUGUUAAGUCGGAUGUGAAAGCCCCGGACUCAACCUAGGAAUUGCAUUCGAUACUGGCAAGCUAGAGUAUGUGAGAGGGGGGUAGAAUUCCAAGUGUAGCGGUGAAAUGCGUAGAGAUGUGGAGGAAUACCAGUGGCGAAGGCGGCCCCCUGGCACACUACUGACGCUCAGGUGCGAAAGCGUGGGGAGCAAACAGG